AUUAACCAUCUAAAAACCCUAAAUCUCCCAGACGCCUUCUCCUUCACGCUAGAACCCUCUUUAUGGUUCCUCCUUCUCUCAAACCCCAACUAUCAAUUCCACAGCAAUCUUCGUUGAUAUCUUAUUUACAAUCAUCAGAUAUUCACACCGAUCAUCCUCUUCAAUGAUACAGGCAAAUUGCGAUGGUAUUUGAUGGUCACUUUCUUUGUUCGUGUGUGGAUUCUGAAUCUGGAAAGUUCGUUUUAGGAUUGAAGAUCCUUCGUUUUCUGCAUAUGCUGGGUUUGAAGAUUUAUCUCUUCGUAGGUUUACCAGAAAUAAGUUCAAUUUAGAGACAAAAUGAACGAUUGGUGUCGAGUUCGCUACCUGAAGUCUUAAUAUUGAUGGGAAGGUCAUCAAGGCUCAGAUUUGGGACACUGCUGGUCAAGAAAGGAUGUAGGGGCCACACUGGUAAUUUGUCAACGGGGCUUCUAUGACGAAGCAAAUCAUUUGUUAAUGCACAGAGAUUUGCCAGCUGCCGGACGGGCUGGCGGUGUAUAGCAAUCGGUUUAUGCUUUUUAGUUAGCUGUUUAUAACAAUUUUGCUUUAAUACACACCGUUACUAUAGUUUCUAAAAAUAUUUUUAUCUAAUCUUGUGCAGGCGGUAGAAUUGUUCCCUGGUUCCAGGAACUAACAACUGAAAAAAUAGGAAGGACUGGUUUGGUUAGAGAAAAGGCAUUUGGUACCACAAAAGAUCGAAUGUUUUAUAUUGAGCACUGUGCAAACUCAAAGGCUGUAACCAUUUUCAUCUAUGGAGGUAACAAGAUGAUGAUCGAGGAGACAAAACGCAGCAUCCAAGAUGCACUAUGUGUCGCUAGAAAUGUUAUUCGUAAUAACUCGUUUGCAUACGGUAGCGGAGCUGCAGAAAUUUCAUGCUCAAUUGCAGUUGAAGCUACGGCUGACCUGGUAGCAACAACUCUCUGGGACGGCUGCAUUCUCAUCUUUAGCAGCGGAAGCACUCGGUGCUAGCUUCAUUUCUUCGUUAUUAGGUGUAGAUUUCCAACAGGGUCCUCCUGUUCCUUCAACACUAUCCAUUAUUGCAGUUCCAAUAAUUGCAACCAACCACAUAAUGCAGAUGAUUUUCAUUGAUUGAUCUACAGGGAAUAUUUGCAAGUAAUUUUGUUCCUUUCAGCCAAGGAGUGCUGCUGUCAUUAUUGCAACAAUUGGCAUGUGAUAUUGGGAAUGAUACCUCUAAGAAACUUGGUUGGAUGAUGGAUGUGGUGGUGGCGAUUAAACCAACUGAUGGGAUCAUCUCAAUGCAUAUAUAAGGCAAGGCCCAUAUUUGAAGCAGAUGAGUGUUCCCAAAACUUCAGCUGCUGAGCUUUCCAGUAUUCGUGUGGUCACGAAACUCAUAAACUCGACGUUAAGGAGCAUAUUCCUCUCUGCCGUUUCUUCUCUACCUCUCUAUUACGUUUGUGAAUCAGUGGUAAUGGUACUUCCCUUACAAACCCUAAUUUUUAUCUCAUCGUUCUUCUGUCAUUCUUUCUCAGGGUCUUUUGCAGGGUGUAUGAUCUGGAUAGUUGUUGCUGAGGUUCUCCGAAUCCUUUGAAGAUCGCUGAUGUAAUUUUCGCACUUGGAUCUUUUGUGAUGGCAGCUGCACCCGAUCCAUACAUGUCUAUAUUCGGUCGUUUAUUAGUCGGGCUGGGUGUCGGGAAUUUAAAAUUGAAAUGCUCUUGCUGGGCUCAUUCACAACUAGUGCCAUUUUGUUGGUUUCAUAUGGUGCAUUGGAAGUUUGAAGGAUGGAUUGGAAUCGGAUGAUUGGAUUUGGAAGAUUAUGUGUUUAUUUCGACUUUUAAAACUUUGAAUUGUAUUGGUUUGAAUUGUGUUAUGUGUUAUUUUGGACAUGUUAUGCGUUAUUUUAGAACUUUGAAUUGUGUUGGUUUGUUUCUUUUGAACAACAACUUUGAAUUGUGUUGGUUUGUU